rnacentral:rRNA from 1 species
UGGGGAAUAUUGGACAAUGGGCGAAAGCCUGAUCCAGCCAUGCCGCGUGUGUGAAGAAGGUCUUCGGAUUGUAAAGCACUUUAAGUUGGGAGGAAGGGCAGUAAGUUAAUACCUUGCUGUUUUGACGUACCGACAGAAUAAGCACCGGCUAACUCUGUGCCAGCAGCCGCGGUAAUACAGAGGGUGCAAGCGUUAAUCGGAAUUACUGGGCGUAAAGCGCGCGUAGGUGGUUUGUUAAGUUGGAUGUGAAAGCCCCGGGCUCAACCUGGGAACUGCAUCCAAAACUGGCAAGCUAGAGUACGGUAGAGGGUGGUGGAAUUUCCUGUGUAGCGGUGAAAUGCGUAGAUAUAGGAAGGAACACCAGUGGCGAAGGCGACCACCUGGACUGAUACUGACACUGAGGUGCGAAAGCGUGGGGAGCAAACA